rnacentral:rRNA from 1 species
GAUUCUGGCUCAGAACGAACGCUGGCGGCAGGCCUAACACAUGCAAGUCGAGCGCGCCCUUCGGGGUGAGCGGCGGACGGGUUAGUAACGCGUGGGAACGUACCCUUUGGUAGGGAAUAGCCACUGGAAACGGUGAGUAAUACCCUAUGAGCCCUUCGGGGGAAAGAUUUAUCGCCAAAGGAUCGGCCCGCGUUAGAUUAGGUAGUUGGUGGGGUAAUGGCCUACCAAGCCUACGAUCUAUAGCUGGUUUUAGAGGAUGAUCAGCAACACUGGGACUGAGACACGGCCCAGACUCCUACGGGAGGCAGCAGUGGGGAAUCUUGGACAAUGGGGGCAACCCUGAAUCCAGCCAUGCCGCGUGAGUGAAGAAGGCCUUAGGGUCGUAAAGCUCUUUCGCCUAUGAAGAUAAUGACGGUAGCAGGUAAAGAAACCCCGGCUAACUCCGUGCCAGCCGCUGC